AGCGAACGCUGGCGGCAGGCCUAACACAUGCAAGUCGAACGAACUCUUCGGAGUUAGUGGCGGAUGGGUGAGUAACACGUGGGAACGUGCCUUUAGGUUCGGAAUAACUCAGGGAAACUUGUGCUAAUACCGAAUGUGCCCUUCGGGGGAAAGAUUUAUCGCCUUUAGAGCGGCCCGCGUCUGAUUAGCUAGUUGGUGAGGUAAAGGCUCACCAAGGCGACGAUCAGUAGCUGGUCUGAGAGGAUGAUCAGCCACAUUGGGACUGAGACACGGCCCAAACUCCUACGGGAGGCAGCAGUGGGGAAUCUUGCGCAAUGGGCGAAAGCCUGACGCAGCCAUGCCGCGUGAAUGAUGAAGGUCUUAGGAUUGUAAAAUUCUUUCACCGGGGACGAUAAUGACGGUACCCGGAGAAGAAGCCCCGGCUAACUUCGUG
rnacentral:rRNA from 1 species